rnacentral:piRNA from 1 species
UGGUGACAUAGGAGAAUCCAUUACC